AAUAGGCCACGGAGCAGGAGGGGCCACGCAGCUGGCCCUGUGGCCCUGGCUCAGCCUCGGGGCCGGGGCGGGGCAGGCUCCCACGUGGGUGCAGACGCCCCCCCGCCCCCCGCCAGGGAGGGCACGAGGAGCACUGUCUCCUGCCCCGGCCCCGCCUCCCGAGGUUCAGCAAGCCCAGUCCCCUCUCCAGCUGCCAUGUCCCGGCACGAGAGGACCACCAGGACCACACGAUGUGCCCUAAGCCUGGACAGAGGGAGCUGAGGUCUGAGACGUGGCCACACAGAGGAAUGCCGGCUAGGCCUCGACGGAAGUGCCCUCUCUGCUUCUCUGAGGCAGCCUGGUUUCUGAAGCCAGCACUUGGCCACAGCGAGGCCAGGGGAUCCCAGGGAGUAGGAGAGGAGACAAGGCCCAGGCUUCCCAGCCUGACAGGAACACUUGGAAAGGAGGCUUGGGAACCCACACCAGCUGCUGUGAGGACCAAGAGUGGCUCAUAUUGCUGUGUGGGGUCUGCAGUGGACGUGUGCCCAGCUCAGAGCAGGACCCGGAAAUGACACCAAGGCCACGGGAAGGAAGCCCAAUUCGUGCCCUCCCUGGGAGCGUACCUGGCUGGGUCUGCAGAGUCCAAGCUGGCCCCUUACCCAAGGGCAACGCCAGGGUCCACCCCAUCGCUCCCCAGUGCCCCCAGCAGGGUGGCAGGACACUGAAGCAGGGCAGCUUGGUCCCAGACACAGGACACUUCCGGA